UACGGAGGGUGCAAGCGUUGUCCGGAAUCACUGGGCGUAAAGGGCGCGUAGGCGGCUCGGUAAGUAGGGGGUGAAAUCCUGCGGCUCAACCGCAGGGCUGCCUUCUAAACUGUCGAGCUCGAGCACGGUAGAGGCAGAUGGAAUUCCCGGUGUAGCGGUGGAAUGCGUAGAGAUCGGGAAGAACAUCAGUGGCGAAGGCGGUCUGCUGGGCCGUUGCUGACGCUGAGGCGCGACAGCGUGGGGAGCAACAGG
rnacentral:rRNA from 1 species